rnacentral:rRNA from 1 species
UAAGGAAUAUUGGACAAUGGGCGCAAGCCUGAUCCAGCAAUGCCGCGUGAAGGAUGAAGGCCUUCGGGUUGUAAACUGCUUUUGUACGGAGCGAAAAGGUCUGCCCUAAUACGGUGGGCUCAUGACGGUACCGUAAGAAUAAGCACCGGCUAACUACGUGCCAGCAGCCGCGGUAAUACGUAGGGUGCGAGCGUUAAUCGGAAUUACUGGGCGUAAAGCGUGCGCAGGCGGUUAUAUAAGACAGAUGUGAAAUCCCCGGGCUCAACCUGGGACCUGCAUUUGUGACUGUAUAGCUAGAGUACGGUAGAGGGGGAUGGAAUUCCGCGUGUAGCAGUGAAAUGCGUAGAUAUGCGGAGGAACACCGAUGGCGAAGGCAAUCCCCUGGACCUGUACUGACGCUCAUGCACGAAAGCGUGGGGAGCAAACA